rnacentral:tRNA from 1 species
CAGGGAAUAGUUUAGUUAGAAUUCAGCUUUGGGUGCUGAUGGCGGAGUUAGUCUCCUUCCUUG